UUUGAAAUAUAUGAUUGCUGUUAAACUUACAUUGUUUUAAUUAAGUUUAGACAUUCCCCGUCAGUUAACGGGUAUUUGAGCUUUUACUUAUAUAUAUAUAUUAUU